rnacentral:rRNA from 1 species
CCAGAGAACUUAGCAGAGAUGCUUUGGUGCCUUCGGGAACUCUGAGACAGGUGCUGCAUGGCUGUCGUCAGCUCGUGUUGUGAAAUGUUGGGUUAAGUCCCGCAACGAGCGCAACCCUUAUCCUUUGUUGCCAGCGGUCCGGCCGGGAACUCAAAGGAGACUGCCAGUGAUAAACUGGAGGAAGGUGGGGAUGACGUCAAGUCAUCAUGGCCCUUACGAGUAGGGCUACACACGUGCUACAAUGGCGCAUACAAAGAGAAGCGACCUCGCGAGAGCAAGCGGACCUCAUAAAGUGCGUCGUAGUCCGGAUUGGAGUCUGCAACUCGACUCCAUGAAGUCGGAAUCGCUAGUAAUCGUGGAUCAGAAUGCCACGGUGAAUACGUUCCCGGGCCUUGUACACACCGCCCGUCACACCACGGGAGUGGGUUGCAAAAGAAGUAGGUAGCUUAACCUUCGGGAGGGCGCUUACCACUUUGUGAUUCAUGACUGGGGUGAAGUCGUAACAAGGUAAGCGUAGUGCU